rnacentral:rRNA from 1 species
AUUGAACGCUGGCGGCAUGCCUUACACAUGCAAGUCGAACGGUAACAGGUUAAGCUGACGAGUGGCGAACGGGUGAGUAAUACAUCGGAACGUGCCCAGACGUGGGGGAUAGCUCGGCGAAAGCCGGAUUAAUACCGCAUAAGCUCUGAGGAGGAAAGCGGGGGACCGUAAGGCCUCGCGCGUUUGGAGCGGCCGAUGGCAGAUUAGGUAGUUGGUGGGGUAAAGGCUUACCAAGCCUACGAUCUGUAGCUGGUCUGAGAGGACGACCAGCCACACUGGGACUGAGACACGGCCCAGACUCCUACGGGAGGCAGCAGUGGGGAAUUUUGGACAAUGGGCGCAAGCCUGAUCCAGCAAUGCCGCGUGCAGGAUGAAGGCCUUCGGGUUGUAAACUGCUUUUGUACGGAACGAAAAGGCGCCUACUAAUACUGGGUGUUGAUGACGGUACCGUAAGAAUAAGCACCGGCUAACUACGUGCCAGCCGCCGCCGUAAUAC